rnacentral:sRNA from 1 species
GCCGGGCGAGUUUUACCGAUCUGUGUUCCGCGGCCCGGCCGCGGCUGAGUCUUCCCAGGGUCAGGGUCGGGCGCUUUGCUGAGUCCCUUUGUGGCCGCCAUGGACAAUUCCGGGAAGGAAGCGGAGGCGAUGGCGCUGUUGGCCGAGGCGGAGCGCAAAGUGAAGAACUCGCAGUCCUUCUUCUCUGGCCUCUUUGGAGGCUCAUCCAAAAUAGAGGAAGCAUGCGAAAUCUACGCCAGAGCAGCAAACAUGUUCAAAAUGGCCAAAAACUGGAGUGCUGCUGGAAACGCGUUCUGCCAGGCUGCACAGCUGCACCUGCAGCUCCAGAGCAAGCACGACGCAGCCACCUGCUUUGUGGACGCUGGCAACGCAUUCAAGAAAGCCGACCCCCAAGUCCCUUUUAGAUCCCCAGAGGUCUUUCUGAAUUGGACAAAACCUACAGACCCCACUCCCCAGAGGAGUGCUUAUGGACCCCACUGUUUACAUGUCAGAAGGAGGGGUUGGACUCCCUGAAAGCCCAGCCACAGACCUGAGACAAAGAGCCUCUGUCCAGAUGCCUCCCCACGGAGGGAGUUUGGAGUCCCAUCCAGACCGUGAGCCCCUUGAGAGGAGCCCAGCCCCGGCGCUACUUGGUAGCACCCUCUUCUCAGGCGAACAUGGCCUGGGUGACCAUGGAGACCCCCACGGUGACCAGGAACUUUCAGAUGCCCAGGCUGAAGCUCAGAGCCCAUGCCCUGUGGCCUGUCCAAGCUCCCUGCCUUUCCCUCUCCCCAACCCAGGCCUCCCUCCCCACAACACCCCUAUCCUCCUGAGAUGUGCUAAAAUGGUGUUCUUAAAAAAUACCCCCUGAGAGCUCAUUUCUAUCUGCUAGAAAAUGCCUCCCACUCAUGCUUUUCUCUCUCCUCCAAAUAACUUGUCAAAAAAAAGCCUUUCCCAAAUUUAAAAUCUUGCAAGAGAUAGUACAACAAAGGUAGCCCAGUUCUUCCUCAGUGCCAUCCUGGUGUGUUCAGGUUUUUUGGCAAAACCUUUGAGGAGCUGGUGGGUGGCAGGACUAGGUUAAAGGGACUGAGCAGAGGGCUCCCGACUGCUGAGCUACGAGGAAGAGGGGGCAGUGGAGAGCACACUGAGGGCUCAGUGUUGAUGACAUCCAGCCUCCUCGUGCCAGAGGUCCAGGUCCUCCUGGUGCAGGAACAGAAGCUGCUCAGGAUCCUGCAGAGAUGGUGGCAGAGCCCAGGUAGAACCUGGCACCCCUGUUGCCUCCAAGACCACCUGAGAUGCUGGCUUGGCCGCCUCCCAUGCCUCCUUCCCCUUUGCCAGCAGCUCAGUCCUUCAAGAGCAGGGCCUUGGCAGGUCUGUCUUAAAACACCCGUGGGAGUCUGGCCAUCAUCCUGGCCUAGCACUGCUGUGCCCUGUCCCUGGGGUUGUGGGAAGCUGGUAGCAUCCUGGCAGCCCGAGGAGAGAAGGGCUCCCCCAGAAGCAUGUGCCCAGCAAGUCACAGUCUGCAGAGUCAGCCCUCUCACCAGAUUUCCUGGGGCUCA